rnacentral:lncRNA from 1 species
AUUUUUUGCUAUCAAGAAAAAUGGAUCAAAGAAUUUGCAUCAAAUUUUGUGUAAAAAAUGGAAUUAAGUGCUCCAAAACACUUGAAAUGUUGACAGUGGCAUACGGUGAGUCUACUCUUAGUAAAAAAAACGUUUAUAAGUGGUACAAGCUCUUCCAAGAUGGCCGAGAAGAUGCCAAUGACGAACCUCGCUCUGGACGCCCCAGCACGUCAACAACAGAUGAAAACGUUGAAGCAAAUCGGAAGAGCGUCGUG